rnacentral:rRNA from 1 species
AGUGAACGCUGGCGGUAGGCCUAACACAUGCAAGUCGAACGGCAGCACAGGAGAGCUUGCUCUCUGGGUGGCGAGUGGCGGACGGGUGAGGAAUACAUCGGAAUCUACUUUUUCGUGGGGGAUAACGUAGGGAAACUUACGCUAAUACCGCAUACGACCUACGGGUGAAAGCAGGGGAUCUUCGGACCUUGCGCGAUUGAAUGCGCCGAUGUCGGAUUAGCUAGUUGGCGGGGUAAAGGCCCACCAAGGCGACGAUCCGUAGCUGGUCUGAGAGGAUGAUCAGCCACACUGGAAUUGAGACACGGUCCAGACUCCUACGGGAGGCAGCAGUGGGGAAUAUUGGACAAUGGGCGCAAGCCUGAUCCAGCCAUACCGCGUGGGUGAAGAAGGCCUUCGGGUUGUAAAGCCCUUUUGUAGGGAAAGAAAUCCAGCUGGUUAAUACCCGGUUGGGAUGACGGUACCCAAAGAAUAAGCACCGGCUAACUUCGUGCCAGCCGCCGCCGUAA